rnacentral:rRNA from 1 species
GAUGAACGCUGGCGGCGUGCCUAAUACAUGCAAGUCGAGCGAACAGACGAGGAGCUUGCUCCUCUGACGUUAGCGGCGGACGGGUGAGUAACACGUGGAUAACCUACCUAUAAGACUGGGAUAACUUCGGGAAACCGGAGCUAAUACCGGAUAAUAUAUUGAACCGCAUGGUUCAAUAGUGAAAGACGGUUUUGCUGUCACUUAUAGAUGGAUCCGCGCCGCAUUAGCUAGUUGGUAAGGUAACGGCUUACCAAGGCGACGAUGCGUAGCCGACCUGAGAGGGUGAUCGGCCACACUGGAACUGAGACACGGUCCAGACUCCUACGGGAGGCAGCAGUAGGGAAUCUUCCGCAAUGGGCGAAAGCCUGACGGAGCAACGCCGCGUGAGUGAUGAAGGGCUUCGGAUCGUAAAACUCUGUAAUUAGGGAAGAACAAAUGUGUAAGUAACUAUGCACGUCUUGACGGUACCGAAACAGAAAGCCACGGCUAACUACGU